GACGAACGCUGGCGGCGUGCUUAACACAUGCAAGUCGAACGGAAAGGCCCUGCUUUUGUGGGGUGCUCGAGUGGCGAACGGGUGAGUAACACGUGAGUAACCUGCCCUUGACUUUGGGAUAACUUCAGGAAACUGGGGCUAAUACCGGAUAGAAGCUCCUGCUGCAUGGUGGGGGUUGGAAAGUUUCGGCUGUUGGGGAUAGACUCGCGGCUUAUCAGCUUGUUGGUGGGGUAGUGGCAUACCAAGGCUUUGACGGGUAGCCGGCCUGAGAGGGUGACCGGCCACAUUGGGACUGAGAUACGGACCAGACUGCUACGGGAGGCAGCAGUGGGGAAUAUUGCACAAUGGGCGCAAGCCUGAUACAGAAGCGCCGCGUGCGGGAUGACGGCCUUCGGGUUGUAAACCGCUUUCGCCUGUGACGAAGCGUGAGUGACGGUAAUGGGUAAAGAAGCACCGGCUAACUACGUG
rnacentral:rRNA from 1 species